CAGAACCUUCUUGAAUGGCAGACGCUGCUCUUUCCCAUUUUCUUGUUCAUCUACUUUCUCACAGUCACAGGGAAUGUUGUCAUUAUUGCAGUGGUGAGCGAGGACCAGCAACUACACUCACCCAUUAUCAUCACCAAGCUGGUUGUUGGGAGAUUUUCAGGUUGCUCCAAGAUGAGAUCCUCCUCUUCUACUUCUCUCUGCUCUACCUGAUGAGUCUCCUUGAAAAUACAACCAUUAUCACCUUAGUCAUUCCGAACUCCAUUCUGCAGACACCCAGUCAGUCAGAGAUGGGGCAAGAUGGUGAAAGAGAAGCGUCCCCAAGGCAUCUGUCACCACCAACUUACCGAGAUAACUUUCAAAUCAUCCUGAAAACCUACAAAUCAGCCUGAGAUUUAAAGAGAGAAAAGCUGGAACGCUACUGUGAUAAAAAUUCGUGCUUCUAUCAAGGUAGGAAGAUGGGAAAAAAUAAAUAAAAAAGGAUCCAAGGGGGAGGAGCCCCC
rnacentral:lncRNA from 12 species